CAAUUUAAACAACGAAGAGUUUGAUCCUGGCUCAGGAUGAACGCUAGCGACAGGCUUAACACAUGCAAGUCGAGGGGCAGCGGGGGUAGCGAUACCCGCCGGCGACCGGCGCACGGGUGAGUAACGCGUAUGCAACUUGCCUAUCAGAGGGGGAUAACCCGGCGAAAGUCGGACUAAUACCGCAUGAAGCAGGGAUCCCGCAUGGGAAUAUUUGCUAAAGAUUCAUCGCUGAUAGAUAGGCAUGCGUUCCAUUAGGCAGUUGGCGGGGUAACGGCCCACCAAACCGACGAUGGAUAGGGGUUCUGAGAGGAAGGUCCCCCACAUUGGUACUGAGACACGGACCAAACUCCUACGGGAGGCAGCAGUGAGGAAUAUUGGUCAAUGGCCGAGAGGCUGAACCAGCCAAGUCGCGUGAGGGAUGAAGGUUCUAUGGAUCGUAAACCUCUUUUAUAAGGGAAUAAAGUGCGGGACGUGUCCCGUUUUGUAUGUACCUUAUGAAUAAGGAUCGGCUAACUCCGUGCCAGCAGCCGCGGUAAUACGGAGGAUCCGAGCGUUAUCCGGAUUUAUUGGGUUUAAAGGGUGCGUAGGCGGCCCCUUAAGUCAGCGGUGAAAGUCUGUGGCUCAACCAUAGAAUUGCCGUUGAAACUGGGAGGCUUGAGUAUGUUUGAGGCAGGUGGAAUGCGUGGUGUAGCGGUGAAAUGCAUAGAUAUCACGCAGAACCCCGAUUGCGAAGGCAGCCUGCCAAGCCAUUACUGACGCUGAUGCACGAAAGCGUGGGGAUCAAACAGGAUUAGAUACCCUGGUAGUCCACGCAGUAAACGAUGAUCACUAGCUGUUUGCGAUACACUGUAAGCGGCACAGCGAAAGCGUUAAGUGAUCCACCUGGGGAGUACGCCGGCAACGGUGAAACUCAAAGGAAUUGACGGGGGCCCGCACAAGCGGAGGAACAUGUGGUUUAAUUCGAUGAUACGCGAGGAACCUUACCCGGGUUUGAACGCAUUUCGACAGCUCUGGAAACAGAGUCUCUAGCGAUAGCGAUUUGCGAGGUGCUGCAUGGUUGUCGUCAGCUCGUGCCGUGAGGUGUCGGCUUAAGUGCCAUAACGAGCGCAACCCUUGCCACUAGUUACUAACAGGUAAAGCUGAGGACUCUGGUGGGACUGCCAGCGUAAGCUGCGAGGAAGGCGGGGAUGACGUCAAAUCAGCACGGCCCUUACAUCCGGGGCGACACACGUGUUACAAUGGCGUGGACAAAGGGAGGCCACCUGGUGACAGGGAGCGAAUCCCCAAACCACGUCUCAGUUCGGAUCGGAGUCUGCAACCCGACUCCGUGAAGCUGGAUUCGCUAGUAAUCGCGCAUCAGCCAUGGCGCGGUGAAUACGUUCCCGGGCCUUGUACACACCGCCCGUCAAGCCAUGGGAGCCGGGGGUACCUGAAGUCCGUAACCGCGAGGAUCGGCCUAGGGUAAAACUGGUGACUGGGGCUAAGUCGUAACAAGGUAGCCGUACCGGAAGGUGCGGCUGGAACACCUCCUUUCUGGA
rnacentral:rRNA from 1 species